CAGACCCAGCCCACCAGAAAGCGGGCCCUUACUAUCGCACGAAGUGUUGUCGUCGUCUCGCGAUACAUCGCCCGUGAUGAGAUCUUAAUCGAUCGAAUGAUAGAUGAGUGAGGAAGUGGGCGAAAUUGAAGCAUUUACGGACGAAGCACCAUCUCCAGCGGGAUGCUUUCUUUUUCAACAACCCAACUAAUGAAGGUCUGUAGGAGCCCGUCCGAUAGCAUGGGCACAGCCCCCUUGGAAACCCCCAUUCUUGGGUGGAAGGUUACGUAAUUUCGGAAACGGUGAUGCAAUGCGACUCGCUCCAAAAGUAAGGCACACCAGAAGCACCAGAACGGUUCCGUCUCCGAUGAGUUGCGGUUGCCGCCCAUCGGCACAUCCAACCCCGGCCUAUAUGGGCGCGUUCCUGAAUUGUGCUGCUGAUGUGGCCCCGGGAGACCGACCGAGAUGAUACAGAACCAUGGCGGGAUGUCGUGAUUCGAUUGGGCGAGGGCGCUGUUUGGAUGCGGAGACCGUUGCGGGGCAGCACAAUCGAUGGUGGUGGAGGCACACUUUAGCACACAGUCCGAGGGAUUGUGUGUCUGAUAAUGGGUCGCUAGCUUAAGCUAGGGCAGAUGUGGUAAUACCGUCUGUGAAUUAACGAACGGAUUUUGGGAACGAUAUGAAAAAUAACUGAAGAUUAGUGGAACAAUGCCCGAUGCAAGAGGAUUUCUUGGAUAUCUGGAGGUCCUCUGAAUUGAAGAUAUAUCGUUAGACAUCAUUUGAAGGAGUGUUGAACUCGGUAUUGAAGGUAAUUA